GCGGCGGCUGUUACGGAGUUUCCGGAGAUUACCGAAAGGCUUCGGCCUCCCUUCCUCCGUCUUCGUCCUCCCACGUCUCCUGUGGCGGCUACUACUGCGGCCGCUUGCCGUCGGCUCCUCGGUUCUUUUCGGCGCUGCCCGGCGGGCGCGAGUCGGCGUCUAGUUCCUUCGGCGGAGCCUCUCGCCAGCGUUGGCCACUAGCGGGUCCCUUGCCGAGACAGAGAGACCCCCUUCCCACACGCCUCUGGAGAGUCCUGGCCGGACCGGACGGGCGGGCUGACUGGGCCUUCGCUCAGCUAUCGUGACCGGUGGUCGAGUGGUGGUGGUGACUGUGAGGCGAGACAGGCGGCUGCGCUCCCCCCUCUAGGGGAAGCGGGGCGGCCGGGGGUCCGGUUCGGAUGGCGGAGGGCAUCCCACACCAGCCGCUUGUGCCCGGCGUCGGCGUCGCAGCCCCUCGAGGGGUCAAGCGGGAGCCCGAGCUGGAACAGCCAAUGCCCGGAGGGGACGGAGCCGAGAGCGGCCAAAGCAAGAGGCUGCGGACCGAGGUGGAGGCGGACGGAGGAGGCAUGCAGAAUGAGCCUCUGACUUCCAGUUAUCAUGGAUACCCAGCGAGAGAUAGUCAGGGUAACCAGGAGCCAACAGCCACUCCUGACACAAUGGUCCAGCCAUUCACCACAAUCCCAUUCCCACCUCCCCCACAGAAUGGGAUCCCCACAGAGUAUGGGGUACCCCACACUCAGGACUAUGCAGGCCAGACCAGCGAGCACAAUCUGACAAUCUAUGGAAGUACCCAGGCUCAUGGAGAGCAGAACACGAAUACUGCCACCACACAGAAUGGAUCUCUUACGCAGACAGAAGGAGGGGCACAGACGGAUGGCCAGCAGUCACAGACACAAAGCAAUGAGAAUACUGAGAGCAAGUCUACUCCAAAAAGGCUGCAUGUCUCCAACAUUCCCUUCCGCUUUCGGGAUCCUGACCUCCGGCAGAUGUUUGGGCAAUUUGGCAAAAUCCUUGAUGUAGAGAUAAUCUUCAAUGAACGUGGCUCUAAGGGAUUCGGGUUCGUAACUUUCGAGAAUAGUGCUGAUGCAGACAGGGCCAGGGAGAAAUUACACGGCACCGUGGUAGAGGGCCGUAAAAUCGAGGUUAAUAAUGCCACUGCACGAGUGAUGACUAAUAAGAAGAUGGUAACACCAUAUGCAAAUGGUUGGAAGCUGAGCCCUGUGGUUGGAGCAGUGUAUGGCCCUGAAUUAUAUGCAGGUAGAACUCAAAAUCAGUCCUUCUGUUUCUGCCAAUUGACUGCAGUGGUGUUUGUUUGUGUUCUCAAUCUGUUGUUUCUUUAUAACCUUUGUACAUUUUUUAUUCUUUUUAAAACUAAAUUAGCAUCCAGUUUUCAAGCAGAUGUCUCGCUGGGCAAUGACGCUGCAGUGCCCCUGUCAGGAAGGGGGGGUAUUAACACUUACAUUCCUUUAAUCAUUCCUGGCUUCCCUUACCCAACUGCAGCCACCACAGCAGCCGCAUUCAGGGGAGCCCAUCUGAGGGGUCGAGGACGGACAGUCUAUGGCGCAGUGCGAGCAGUACCUCCAGCAGCCAUCCCAGCUUACCCAGGAAUAGUCUUACAGGAACCAAUCAUUAGCGCUAAAAUACCUCAGGGUGGAUAUGCAGCCUACAGAUAUGCGCAGCCAGCUACCGCGACAGCAGCCACUGCUGCUGCAGCUGCUGCAGCGGCUUACAGCGAUGGGUAUGUAAGGAAGGAGUGGCUUUGGUGUAUCUUGGUAUCAGAAGAGCACUGUUUCAUUUUGACACUGCUUUGCCCAUGUUCCUUAAUACAUCUGCUCUUGAUGAAAAACUUUAUAAUAUUCAAGUGCACCUUAUAGCUAGCAGAUAUAAUGUAACGAGAGAUAGUCAUAAGCAUAUGGUGCUGUGUUAUGACAAAGAGACAGCCAGGUUUUGCAACCAUGUGUCUGCUCUUUGUUACUAGGCAAGGCACUGACCUUUAGGGUCAUUGUCUAUAGGAGCUGGCAAGCGGAAAUGUGUUUGUCAGAAUUGCCUGUUGUCUGGUCAGUGCUUUGAAAAUAAUGGAAUUUGUGAAGGACAGCACUAAAUAGGUCCAACCUUUGCCAUAUUUGUGACUGACUUAAUAAGGAUGUUCAGCUUGUAGCAUUGUGCUUGGUAGUUUUCUUCCUUCAAAGAUUAAUAUGGAUGCAAACAUAGGAAGUUGCUUAUCUAUACUGACUACUAGAUAUCACUGUGAGGGCACAGUAGCUUGUGAACUUAGUAAAUGGACUGAAUUAAAAUCUGCUGGAAAGUAUUUUGGGUGUACCCCCCUUUGUCUACCAGUGGAAUGGCUACAGUGAUUUAAGAACAUAAGCCCUGCUCGCUCAGAUAAAAGGCCUUUCUAGUCCACCAUCCUGUUUCCAUGGUGGCUAACCAAGUACCUGAAUGAGUAGCCCACAAACUGGAUGUGAAUUGCACCCCUUUUGCUCAUGUUUCCCAGCUACCUGUGUCCAGUGGCAUAUUGCCUCUAAUACUAAGGUAAUAUUAAACCAUUCCUAAUGGUCAUUGAUAAUCAUCUCUUUCAUGAAUUUUCCUAAUCCCUUUAUAAUAGUCAUGAUCAUCGCUUCAUCCUUAAAUAUUUUUGAUAAUAAACUUUGUGAGAAGAGAGUAGAUACAAUUGCCAUAAGUAAGACUGGCUUACAAAGUAACAAAGCAUUUACAUAGAUGUACAAUUUAUGUAACAUUAGUUCGGCAUCUUUUACUUCAAACACCUCUCACACUGUUCUGUUUGAUAGUACAGUGGCACCUUUCAGUGCUUUCUUCCUCAUUCCAUCCAAAGAUGGAUUCUCAUUGCCUAUGUGGAAUGAUAGCUUACUGAUGUCAUGAUAUUAAUUGGAAUUUUGUGGAGUUAGGGAUUUCUUAAAGUCGAAAACUAUGAGUCUUUCCAUAAUAAACCCUUUAUGGAGCAAAAUACAGAUCUUAAAACAAUUUUGCAUGGGAAAAUAAAUCCAAAAUGAGCAUUCUUUAAACAUUUUUAAAUAUAUUUAUUCUGGUGCUGAGUAUUUGGGGUUGACACCACCAUAUAUUAACACCAAAAUGCUCUGUUGAAAUAAACUACUCCUUUAGCUUCUUUCCUUUCCUUUGGUGACAAAUAUGCCUUAGAAGCCUUUUGUGAAGUGACAUUUUUUUCUCUCCUCCAUUUCCUUUUCCUCAGUUAUGGCAGGGUGUACACAGCAGACCCUUACCACGCUCUUGCCCCUGCUGCUAGCUAUGGAGUUGGCGCUGUGGCAAGUUUAUAUCGAGGUGGCUACAGCCGAUUCGCCCCUUACUGAAGUGACAUGAGCCCCCUGCGAGUGGGACAGCCCCCCCAGUACAUGAGGCCUGGCUAUUGCAAUAUUUACUAGUAGAGGAACUCUAUAGCAAGAAGAGGAGGAAAACAAAAGAAAAAAAAAACAAGAGAAAUACUUUUUUAUACCUCACUAUGUUCUUUGAAUAUGUAUUUUUCCUUUAAAUUUCUGCCUUUAAUUCUUUUGUUCCAAAGAUUGUGCAUUUUUGUUUUCUUGUUUUUUUCUGGUUGUUGUUUUUUUAACUGUGGUAAACAAAAUGCAUUUCCAUGUCUGUAUAUGCGUAGCUUAUCCUACCAAUCACAAAAGAGUUGAACAGUGCUAAGAAGCACCAUUAGGAACCAACAUCAUGGAACUCAAUCAGGAAUCAGGAACAUGCAGAUAUUUGUUUUACCUGGGUCUGGACCCUGAGGCCUGUGAUCCAUGAGGAACAGUCCCUCUAUCUACAGAGGGCAGUCCUAAUUGGCUGCAGCUGGAACCUGCAGGCUGGUCAGAAACACAAAUGUCCCCCAUUUUAUUUCCAUCUGGUACACGUGGGCUCAGGAGAGUUCCAGAAGCGUCAAGAUUUUACAGUUUUCAAGACAAGAAUCCUCAAAGCUGCCCAAAGACUUUGUCUGUUAAUGGUUUUAGGGGACAAGACUUGAAAUGAAUAUGUGAUCUUACUGCUUCUAUACAUACACCUAACUUUAGUGAUUGUUGUCCACUACCAAGGCUUAACUUCUUAGUUUCUUUCACUUGCUAUGGUCUUCCUCUCUUCCCACCCUCUCCCUCUUUUCUUUGCUGGAGAAACAGCAGAUAUGAGACAAUGACUACAGAACCUGAAGCCAUGUGGAGAGAGUUUUAUCUUUGAUGAUAAGGAGUAUGAUGACAGAGUUGUACACAGCCUGGAGUUAAGAAGAAUGAUGGUGGGGAAAGCUUGCACCAGUGCCACUCUGAGCUGCUCCAAAAUCUGAGUGCCCAAGACCCACUUCUUGUGACACCCUAAGACAAUUAGACUUGCUGCAAGUAUGCCACUGAAACAUUGCAUGAAAAGAAAAAAAUGUGUCUUGGAUCAUGGUCCCAGGAAAGUGAUGGAGGCAAUGGGGAGGACUGCUUGUGUCAUAACACUAUUCUUGAAGUCAUUGUUGUAUAGUUUUGGCAUCCGGGGGAGGCAAAAACGUAUUUCAGAAACACAAUUUAAGAACAGAGGAAACUUCCUUUUGAUAUGCAACACAGAGCCUUUAGUAGUUUGUCACCUCUUUGAAGAGAAAUCUGUAUCAGACUGCUCAGCGUGGGUGCAUACAGCAAGUUGUGAGCUGACUCUGAGCCCAGAGAUUUCUCCCUUAAUUUUUUUUUUUACUUGUACAUGGAAUGCCCUUUAUUUUAUGCAGUGGGUGUCUUGUAAGUUGCUAUAGCAGCAUGUGUGUGACAACAAGCAAACCACUGCUCUCAAAUAUCUGCCGCUAAUUUUGGAAAUCAAAGGGGCAGAAGAGAUCCUGCUUUGCCCUCUUAGCUGUCAUGAUUCUCUCAACACCUCUUGCAGAUUCUCUGCAGCUUUACCUUUAAAACCCUACAUGUUAAAGAAGCACAAUUCCUUUGGCUCCUUGGCCUGCCUAAACUGGUACUGGGUGACCUUUCACCCUGAAAGGGCAGCUAGGAGGUGGACUUGUAGCCGAAGCUGUCUCAUCUGCCAUCAUUCACCUGCCCACCAGUGAUGUCAACAUGGGAACAGAGACAUCCUGAAAUCCUUCCGUGAACAGGGCUAUUGAGGAAGCGCACUGACCCAGCCAUACACAGCUCGCAUCUUUACUCCCACUCCCAUUAAGCCCUUUUCGUACUUGCCAGAGAGCACCAAGGAUGUUAGAGAGGAUGCAUGAAGCAAGAAGGGCAGGGGAGCUCUUCACAAAGCUAGAGACUCUUAUCAAUGUCGAUUCUUUGGAACAAGGUGACACCAAACUGCCAGCCUGUUGGCCACUUUUUGAUUUUGUUGUCUUGUUUUUUCAAGCCAAAGUUUGGUUUGUUGCUGUUAUGACAAUUUCUGUUGUUUUUGUAUAUAAAUACUUUAGUUACUUUGAAAAUGGGGUGAGGGGAGUGGGGUGUCAGGGCUUUCACAAAAUCAAGGAAAUGAAGAAGGAGGGAACUUCUGGUUUGUAUAAUUUUUUGGUGUUAUGUUCAUCAGAAGCCUGUGUGCAUCACAAGGCAGAUGAGGGCAGGGUCAGACUCCUGCCUAGGAAUGAGACACAGCAAAGAUUCCUCCACUGAGCCACCAACUAUUUGCAAAGAGCCUUCUGCUAGCAUUACAGAAAAGAGCAGCUUGAGUAGCUCUACCACAGUUUUGGGGCCAACUGGCUCCCCAGCUGAAAUAAUGAAUAGUCUGGAUACUGGUGCAUGUUUUGAGCAGUGUGUCUGCUCCAGUAAUGGAGCUGAGUGCCACCCCGUGCUUCAGGGUUGUGACUGAGCCAUCUUGGUGCUCAUCAAAGCUACAGUGCCAGCCCUGCAUGGUGACCUUAGCCAAGUCAUUUUGCUUGGUUAUUUGUUUUAUCUCUAAAAUGGAAGACCAAGGUACCUCUCCAUUGUGAAACAAAGUGAGAUCCAUGGUGAAAAACACUGUUGUUAAAGAUUCAUUCUCACCUUUCCAUUUUUCCAAAGCCUAAAAAUGUCCAAACAAACCAACUUUGUUGCAAAUUAACUUUUUAGCAAGGUACUGUUUACCUUUUGAUUCUAGACAGAAGUGCAUACAAAGUUAAGGCUUUGAAAAACUUCAUACAUUCUCUUCCUGUUACAGAUAUCUGAUAGAUUAGGAGUGGGGGACACUUUGGAUUUCAAGAAUUGAAACCAAAUUUCAGUGAUAGGUCUUUUGCUGUGUCCCACACCUAAAGGGAGAAUUUGCAGGUAGCCUAGGAAAGAAUAUUGCUUAUUGGCUUCCAGCAUACUAGGAUCGGAGGGGUCCUUCGCACAGGAUUGGGUUGGAGAGGAUUUAAGAGUGUGUUACUGGUUUGCACUGGUUGUAAAAUAGGAAAAUGAAAACCCUAGCAGACAUAGUGAAGAGCCAGUAUAGUCUGAGCAGCCCAGCCCUCUCUGCCUACUCCCUAUCCACCCAGUCUUCUUUUGCUGUUGCUUUUAUUGACAAUGUAAUGACACUAAACCCUGAGUUCAUGGAGCAAACUGUCUUCUGGUAGUCAGAGUGAAUCUGGUCUUUCCAAUGUAUUUUGUGGGUGUUUUCUUCUCUCCCCCAACCCCCUGAUUGCAUCUAAUUAAACCCAAGACUUGCAUCUUUCCUGCCUCCUGCCCUGGGAAGCGAACUGCAGUAGGAUGUCAACAUUCAGAGCUGGCUGCCAGAAAUAACGGUGGGGAGAGGACACACCAGACUUAGCAUAAUCCCCCACUGUAACUUAGUCUGAGUGAAUAGUUGGGAAGACUUCUAGAUAAGUUGAACCUAAGCCCUGCCAGUUGACAAAGACUGGAAAGUGGGUAGAAAGCCUGCUCCUCAGCAGUUGCAAUUUUUCCUGCCAACUUUUUUUUUCCCUAAAGCCGUCCACUGGAGAAUUAAUUUGGUGAGAAAUCUGCAUCAUGCCACCUAGUUAGUGGUUUCUUUUUUAAAAGAUGGAAUAAAAUUGGAAGCUUUUUCUUUCUUUCUUUCUUUUUUCUUCUUCUUUUCUCUCUUUCAGGGGUGGAACAAUAAAGGGCAUUUGUUGCUGCUUUGAAAAGCAACCAUCAAGGAAUCUUGCCGAUGUAUUCAAAAUAGUGAAUAGUUGCAGUUCACUUUGCCUGGAGUCUAAUAAGUGGUUAAGUUAAUCCUUCUGGAGAUUUAAUUCGGGCUUUAAAUUUGUUUUGUAAAUAGCUGGGGCAAAACCCUGGCACAAUGACAAAUGUAAGGCAUGACUGCAGGGCAGAACCAAGCUGAGAGUUUAUACCAACUGCUCAAGAUGAAUUAGUAACACUUGGUGUUGCUCAAGACAAGGCCUAAAAUGCCCCAGGCUGACUUUCCUGUCUUGCAGUAUCUCCUGCACCACUCCCAGCCAGGUACCCUUGGGACAUAGGAUGCAUUGUAGUUUGAUGCUCUCCUCUCCUCUGGAUCAUUUCUCAGGAUGCCUAAGCUGCUUGAGCAGAGUCCCAUUUCCCUGCUGACUCUGGAAAAGUAGUAUCUGCAUCCCAGGACUUUGUGGCAGUCUCUAAUGUCCCUCCUGCCCUCCCGUCCCACCCUCCCCCUGUUUAAGUAUCAUAUUGUACAGUAGCUUUCAAACCAUACAGUAUUCAUUGGGUUACUCUUAUUAUUAUCAAGUAGCUGGAAUUGUGAAGGUCGGAGUAGUUAGAUCUUUAGCUUUUCUUCCUUUUUUUUUGUAUUACUAUCCAUGUGUAUAAAUUAUUGAUCAUGUUGCUGGCUUUUAUAAACUCUAAGCAAGGGAGGAGCCCUUCCUCACCCUUUGCAAAUGGUAAUGAAGCACUGUUUUUAAAUAAAAGAAAGAAACACCA